rnacentral:rRNA from 1 species
AUACGGAGGGAGCUAGCGUUGUUCGGAAUUACUGGGCGUAAAGCGCACGUAGGCGGUUACUCAAGUCAGAGGUGAAAGCCCGGGGCUCAACCCCGGAACUGCCUUUGAAACUAGGUAACUAGAAUCCUGGAGAGGUGAGUGGAAUUCCGAGUGUAGAGGUGAAAUUCGUAGAUAUUCGGAAGAACACCAGUGGCGAAGGCGGCUCACUGGACAGGUAUUGACGCUGAGGUGCGAAAGCGUGGGGAGCAAACAGGAUUAGAUACCCCAGUAGUCC